rnacentral:rRNA from 1 species
AAGCGGCAACAGCUCAAAUUUGAAAUCUGGCUUCGGCCCGAGUUGUAAUUUGUAGAGGAUGCUUUUGGUGAGGUGCCUUCUGAGUUCCCUGGAACGGGACGCCAGAGAGGGUGAGAGCCCCGUAUAGUCGGCCACCGAUCCUCUGUAAAGCUCCUUCGACGAGUCGAGUAGUUUGGGAAUGCUGCUCAAAAUGGGAGGUAUAUCUCUUCUAAAGCUAAAUAUUGGCCAGAGACCGAUAGCGCACAAGUAGAGUGAUCGAAAGAUGAAAAGCACUUUGAAAAGAGGGUUAAAUAGCACGUGAAAUUGUUGAAAGGGAAGCGCUUGUGACCAGACUUGUGCCGGGCUGAUCAUCCAGUGUUCUCACUGGUGCACUCGACCCGGCUCAGGCCAGCGUCGGUUCUCGUAGGGGGAUAAAAGCUUCGGGAACGUGGCACCUUCGGGUGUGUUAUAGCCCGUUGCUUAAUACC